GUUGAGCUUGCGAAACAUUUAGGCAUAAAAAGGAAGAUCACACCACGGUAUCCUCGAGUUCAGAGCGACUUACUGUUGCUCAGGACUGUCUUUUUGGUUUGGCUUCAACUUUAUAGCUUUCUUUUUUCUGGGUUGGGGUGGUGGUGUUGUUUUAGAAUCGUGAAAGCUCAUAAAGGGGGUGCAAAUUGGUGAGAAAGAAGAUUGAUGAGACUUUUAUAGUUUUGCAACACAAGUUUAGUUUCUUCUUGGGGUUGCACCAACAUGUCUUCUGAAGCUUUUACAUGGAUCACGUACCUCUCAUGUUCACCCUCAAGGGACACAUUUCUCUCGACUUCAAGUCUACCUCAGUGGCUGAGAUUCAUUUUCCUCUCUCCAUGUCCUCAGAGAGCUAUUUUCUCUGCUGUUGACAUCCUACUCCUGUUGACCCUCUUUGUGUUUGCUGUUAUAAAGCUCUAUUCUAGGUUCACUUCCAAUGGCAACCCCAACUCAGAGCUCAACAAGCCCCUUAUCAGAAACAACGCGGCUUCUGACAGAACAACCUUAUGGUUUAAACUAACUCUAAUUGUAUCAGCUGUUCUGACAAUAUUGUACACUGUCGCUUGCAUUCUGUUAUUUAGCAGUUCCACCAAAGUUCCAUGGAAGCAAAUUGAUGGACUCUUCUGGUUAGUUCAGGCCGUAACACAAUUAGUGCUUGCAAUCCUAAUCAUCCAUGAGAAAAGAUUUGAAGCUGUUGUUCAUCCUCUGUCGCUUAGAAUAUAUUGGAUUGCAAGUUUCAUUAUCGUUUCUUUGUUCACAGCUUCUGGGGUUAUACGUUUGGUAUCUGUGGAAUUGGAAGACGGGAUUAACUUCAGCUUUAUGGUUGAUGAUAUAGUCUCCUUCAUUUCUCUUCCUCUAUCACUGUUUCUACUUUGUGUUGCUGUUAAAGGGUCCACCGGGAUCGAGUCCAGAGAAGAAACACAAUCGCUUAUCGAUGAUGAAACCAAACUAUAUGACAAAUCCAAUGUUACUGGCUUUGCUUCAGCUUCUGCAGUAUCCAAGGCCUUUUGGAUAUGGAUAAACCCCUUAUUGAGUAAAGGUUAUAAGUCACCGCUGAAGAUUGAUGAAAUUCCUUCACUUUCACCACAGCAUAGAGCAGAGAGGAUGUCAGUUAUCUUUGAAUCGAAGUGGCCUAAAUCAGAUGAGAGGUCGAAGCACCCGGUUCGAACCACGUUGGUUCGGUGUUUCUGGAAGGAGAUAGCCUUCACUGCUUUCCUUGCUGUUGUUAGGCUAUGUGUCAUGUUUGUAGGGCCAGUUCUCAUUCAAAGUUUUGUUGAUUUCACAUCAGGGAAGGGUAGCUCUCCAUAUGAAGGUUACUACCUCGUGUUGGUUCUAUUGUGUGCCAAAUUUGUAGAAGUUUUGACCACUCACCAUUUCAACUUCAACUCUCAGAAGCUUGGGAUGCUUAUCAGAUGCACUCUUAUCACUUCCUUGUACAAGAAGGGGUUGAGGCUAUCGUGUUCCGCUAGGCAGGAUCAUGGGGUUGGUCCCAUUGUGAAUUACAUGGCUGUGGAUACUCAGCAAUUAUCUGAUAUGAUGCUUCAGUUACAUGCUGUGUGGAUGAUGCCAUUUCAAGUUGGUAUUGGCUUGUUUUUGCUUUACAAUUGUCUAGGUGCUUCAGUACUCACGGCUUUGGUUGGACUUCUUGGUGUUCUUGCCUUUGUUGUGGUGGCUACUAAGAGAAACAAGCGUUUCCAGUUUAAUGCAAUGAUGAACCGGGACUCAAGAAUGAAAGCAGUUAAUGAGAUGCUUAACUACAUGCGUGUCAUCAAGUUCCAAGCAUGGGAAGAGCAUUUCAAUGAGAGAAUUUCGGGUUUCCGUAAGUCAGAGUUUGACUGGCUUUCCAAGUUUUUGUACUCAAUCUGCAGCAAUAUUAUUGUGCUGUGGAGCACGCCAAUGUUGAUAUCAACUCUCACCUUUGGUACCGCAAUUUUUCUUGGAGUUCCACUUGAUGCAGGCACGGUUUUCACCACAACAACUGUGUUUAAGAUCCUGCAGGAACCUAUUAGGACCUUUCCUCAGUCUAUGAUAUCACUUUCACAAGCAUUGGUGUCACUUGGGAGGUUAGAUAGGUACAUGUCUAGCAGGGAAUUGUUAAAUGAUUCGGUUGAGAGAGAGGAAGGGUGUGAUGGACACACUGCUGUGGAGGUCACUGAUGGGACUUUUAGCUGGGAUGAUGAUGGCCUAGUGCAAGACUUGAAAAACAUUAAUUUGGAGAUUAAUAAAGGGGAGCUUACAGCUAUUGUUGGGACUGUGGGGUCUGGAAAAUCUUCUCUCCUUGCAUCAAUUCUUGGUGAAAUGCACAAAAUUUCGGGAAAGAUUAAAGUUAGUGGGAGUACUGCUUAUGUUGCACAAACAUCUUGGAUUCAGAAUGGGACCAUAGAAGAAAACAUUCUCUUUGAUUUACCAAUGAAUAGACAGAAGUACAAUGAAGUUGUGAGGGUUUGUUGCUUGGAGAAAGACUUGGAAAUGAUGGAGCAUGGGGAUCAGACAGAGAUUGGAGAGCGUGGCAUCAACCUUAGUGGGGGUCAGAAGCAGCGUAUACAACUUGCCAGGGCUGUAUAUCAAGACUCUGAUAUAUAUCUUCUUGAUGAUGUCUUCAGUGCUGUUGAUGCACAUACUGGCACUGAAAUAUUCAAGGAAUGCGUGAGAGGGUCUCUAAAAGGCAAGACCGUUAUUCUUGUAACACAUCAAGUAGAUUUCCUACACAAUGUGGAUCUUAUAAUGGUGAUGAGGGAGGGAACAAUAGUCCAAUCAGGGAAGUACAAUGAUCUACUUGCUUCUGGAAUGGAUUUCAGUGCACUUGUAGCAGCACACGAGACCUCUAUGGAACUAGUAGAGCAAGGUGCGGGCAUGCCUGGGGAAAAUUUGAACAAACCAAUGAAAUCUCCAAGGGCAGCUUCUAACAACAAAGAAGCAAAUGGUGAAAGCAAUUCACUUGAGCAGCCAAAGUCUGGCAAGGAAGGUUCUAAACUCAUCAAAGAAGAGGAGAGAGAAACUGGGAAAGUUAGCUUCCAUAUCUAUAAACUCUACUGCACUGAGGCUUUUGGUUGGUGGGGGAUUAUAGGAGUAAUCUUUCUUUCUGUGUUGUGGCAAGCAGCUAUGAUGGCAAGUGAUUAUUGGCUGGCAUAUGAAACAUCUGAAGAGCGUGCUCAGCUUUUUAAUCCUUCCUUGUUUAUUUCCAUCUAUGCAAUUAUUGCUGCAGUUUCAGUUAUUUUGAUUGUGCUACGAUCCUACUGGGUUACAAUCUUGGGGUUAAAGACAGCACAGAUUUUCUUCUCUCAAAUUCUUCAUAGCAUAUUGCAUGCCCCCAUGUCUUUCUUUGACACUACUCCAUCCGGGAGAAUUCUAAGCAGGGCAUCCACUGAUCAGACCAACGUUGACAUCUUUAUCCCCUUGUUCCUGAAUUUUGUGGUGGCCAUGUACAUUACAGUGAUUAGCAUCUUCAUUAUCACAUGUCAAAACUCUUGGCCAACAGCUUUCUUGUUAAUUCCUCUUGCUUGGUUAAACAUUUGGUACCGGGGUUAUUUUCUUGCUUCAUCUCGUGAGCUAACUCGCUUGGAUUCAAUUACAAAAGCACCUGUGAUUCAUCAUUUUUCAGAAAGCAUUUCCGGGGUCAUGACAAUUCGCGCAUUCAGAAAGCAAAAGGAAUUUUGUGGAGAAAAUAUCAAACGAGUGAACGCUAAUUUGAGAAUGGAUUUCCACAACUUCAGUUCCAAUGCGUGGUUGGGUUUCCGCCUAGAAUUACUUGGAAGCUUUGUUUUUUGCUGUUCGGCUCUGUUCAUGAUCAUGUUACCCAGCAGUAUCAUAAAGCCAGAAAAUGUUGGAAUGUCUCUCUCAUAUGGAUUGUCAUUAAAUGCCGUGAUGUUCUGGUCAAUAUAUAUGAGCUGUUUCAUUGAAAACAAAAUGGUAUCCGUUGAGAGGAUUAAACAGUUCACAAAUAUUCCAUCGGAAGCAGAAUGGAACAUUAAGGAUCGUUUGCCUCCUUCAAAUUGGCCCGGUCAAGGCCAUGUUGAUAUCAAAGACUUGUCAGAUAUCGUCCAAACACUCCUUUGGUUCUUAAAGGCAUCACCUUAAGCAUCAAUGGAGGAGAAAAGGUUGGUGUUGUUGGCAGAACUGGGAGUGGAAAAUCAACUUUGAUUCAAGUUUUCUUCAGACUGGUGGAACCUUCAGGAGGGAAAAUAAUCAUUGAUGGCAUUGACAUAUCCGCCUUAGGUCUUCAUGAUCUUAGAUCACGCUUUGGAAUCAUCCCUCAGGAGCCUGUCCUUUUUGAAGGAACUGUCAGAAGUAACAUUGAUCCAACUGGAAUGUAUACAGAUGAAGAUAUAUGGAAGAGUUUGGAACGUUGUCAACUAAAAGAUGUAGUAGCUUCGAAGCCUGAAAAGCUUGACUCCUCAGGUUUCAAAGAUUCUAAUACCAUUUUCUUUGAGCUGUGCUGAAUUUCGCUUGCACCCCUUUUUAAUUUUCUUUCUAAUGGGAAUGUUUUUGAAUAUACAGUGGUUGAUAAUGGAGAUAACUGGAGUGUGGGGCAGAGGCAGUUGCUUUGUUUAGGGAGGGUUAUGCUAAAGCAAAGCAGGUUGUUGUUUAUGGAUGAGGCAACAGCUUCUGUUGAUUCUCAAACCGACGCUGUAAUUCAGAAGAUCAUCCGAGAAGACUUCGCUGCACGUACUAUUAUCAGCAUUGCUCAUAGAAUACCAACGGUCAUGGACUGCGAUAGAGUUCUAGUUGUAGAUGCAGGGCGAGCAAGAGAAUUUGACAAACCAUCGAACUUGCUACAAAGGCAAUCACUGUUUGGGGCUUUAGUUCAAGAGUAUGCUAACCGCUCGAGUGGGCUAUGAUAAGAAACCUUCAUCAAUCCAUAGUAUAGCAACAAAGUAACGAAAACCCAGAAAUGAAACAUAACAUUCUAAAGGCUAAGCCUUUUGAUUGAUCUUCAAAGUGCCAUGUGAAGGGAAAAUGGCAAUUUCUUGUAGAUGCUGAAAACUAGUGUAGAGCGUUCCAAAUAAUUCGAAGACGACCUCAUUCAUCGUCCGUGUAUUACUAUUUUGACAAGUUAAAAAUGAUGUAUUCUUCUAGUUACAUUCACCUAAAGUUACACAGCAAUUGUAGGUCCUACAUUAUUGAAUUAUGCAUCAUUAAUAAUAUACUAUGAACUUCUAAUUGUG